rnacentral:rRNA from 1 species
GCCUAGCCCUAAACAGAUAAUCACUUUACAAUCAUUUUUCGCCAGGGAACAACGAGCCCCAGCUUAAAACCCAAAGGACUUGGCGGUGCUUUAGACCCCCCUAGAGGAGCCUGUCCUAGAACCGAUGGUCCCCGUUCAACCUCACCCCCUCUUGUAUUAAUCAGCCUGUAUACCGCCGUCUACAGCCCACCCUGUAAAGGCCUAGAAGUGGGCAAAACCGGCACCGCCUAAGACGUCAGGUCGAGGUGCAGUUUAUGAGGGGGGAAGAGAUGGGCUACAUUUUCUGACUCAGAAAAGCACGAAUUUUUGCCCUGAAAAAGCAUAUGAAGGUGGAUUUAGCAGUAAGGAGGGAUUAGAAAGCUCCCCUGAAGCCGGCCCUGAAGCGCGU